AAGUCUGGUGCCAGCAGCCGCAGUAAUUCCAGCUCCAAUAGCGUAUAUUAAAAUUGUUGCGUCUAAAAAGCUCGUAGUUUGAAAACUUGCCUUGGCUAGCAAUAGGUCCCUGUAAAGGGCCGCCGUUAGUUGGGAGCAAAUAUCGAUGAUUGUUUUUGCCGACUUUACUGUUUGGCUUAAAUUUGUCAUCAAAUAUCACUUUGAUUAAAUUAGAGUGCUUAAAGCAAGUGGUAACUUGAAUAUAAAUGCAUGGAAUGAUGGAAUAUGUUGUUGUUCUGUUUGUUGGUUUUUGAACGAUGAAAUGAUUGAAAGGAACUGUUGGGGGCAUUCGUAUUGUUGUGAGAGAGGUGAAAUUCUUAGACCACAGCAAGACGAACUACUGCGAAAGCAUUUGCCAAGAAUGUUUUCAUUGAUCAAGAACGAAAGUUAGAGGUUCGAAGGCGAUCAGAUACCGCCCUAGUUCUAACCAUAA
rnacentral:rRNA from 1 species